CAUCUGGAGCAGAUUCUCCCAGCCCCUGAGCAGCUGCGUGACAGAAAAAGUAUUGACAGGGCUUGCUUUAAUAAUAGCGUCGAAGUUUUUGUAGGAGAUGCUCCGUGUGAGAUUUGACAAGACCCUGUAGACCGAGGAAUUAAAAUCUCUUCUCUCUUGAUAAAGAAGUCACUCCUUUCCUGCUUUGCUCUCCCCUCUGAUUCUCCUCACCUUGUUGGAAGUGGCCCAGUUUGUUGGUCUUCUUGAUUGUACGUACAUAUUGAACUGUUGGACUUUAGAGUAAAGUUGGAAAUAGAUUCCAGUGUUCUUUUCUGCGAUCAAGAUAAAUAAACUAAGUGAAAGGAAACUAACAUUUUUGGAGUCAGCUACAUGCCAGGCACCAAGCUGUAUAUUCUGCAUACCAUGUUAGGUAUUCUUCAUUUGUUCUCUCCCCUUCAAUCCUCAGAAUCAAAUGCCUCUAGGGACUAGGCAGGCAAAUGAAUGAAGCAAGUAGGGUAUAAUUUUCUCAUUUCAUAUGUAACUAUAUUCACAGAAGUACAGUUUAUUUUAUUCUCAAAAAGAACCUCUGUUGAAAUUUAAGCCCUAUUUUUUAGUUAAUUUUUAGCAGGCAUUUUUGCCCAACACCCAGAUCUUCCUAUAGGCCACUUCAGAAUAGCACAUUAAAUUGCCUUCUUUUGACAUGGCCACACUUUGAACAUUAAACAUUUAGAAAUGUUCUCUCCUCUUCCACAAAGAACACUGCUCACUUGUAAUUUCACAUAACCCUCAUGAUCUGUAUUUAAUUUCCCCACUUUUGUUAUUUUUGUUAGGAAUAUGCAUACACAGAUAUUUCACUUUCCUCUUGAUUAUAAGAAAAUGACUACAACAAUGAUGUCAAGUGGCAACUUACAUUCAGCUGUAUUGUUGGGGCUUAUUAAAGGAAAUGUCUUCUAGAGGAAAUGGUGAGGACAUUGGGGAAAAUGGGUGCAAGAUGGGGAGGCAUCACCCAGCUCUAGACAAUUAUUGCUGUUUAGGAAUUCAAGCCCAGCAUUGCCAGAUCAUCUUUUUAUUUUUUUUAACAUUCAUUUUUGAGAGAGAGAGAGCAUGAAAAGGGGAGGGGCAGAGAGAGAGAGAGGGAGACACAGAAUCCAAAGUAGGCUCCAGGUUCCAGCUGUCAGCACAGAGCCCGAUGCAGGGCUCCAACCCACGAACCAUGAGAUCAUGACCUGGGCUGAAGUCAGAUGCUUAAUCAACUGGGCCACCCAGUUGACCCUCUUCUCAUUCUUAAGACGAGUCAGGAAUACAGAUUUUGUGUAUGUGUAAAAUUUCCCAAAUUUAAAAAUAAUGUGACCAAUUCCCCAUACAAAAAGCACACCAUACAGAAUCACAUGCAGGUGGCCAGAAUUUUCCUCCAUCUGGUGACUCAAGGAACCAGGAUCCCUUUAUCUUAUGAUGCUGCCAACUCAGUAUAUGGUUUCCAAGGCCCCACUGCAGGGGAAGGAAGAGAUAAAGGUGCACACCAGCUCUUAGGUGCCUUGGCCAGGAAGUAACAUACAGCAUUUCAUUUCACAAGCCAUUGAUGAGGUGGGGUUGCUUGAUUCCAAAGAAGGCAGGGAAAUGAAAAGGAGAAGUCGGAUAUUUGAUGACUACUAACUGCUCCUAUCGUAGCAAUUAGUUUAAAACAAACAAGCAGACAAAUCAGCCAGAUUUCUGGGCAGAUCAAACAAAAUAUAAGCACGGUCAAGAUUCAAUCUAGGAGCUGACAUACUAGAGUCAUUUUACACCUAGAAACAACUAGGGCUCAAAGAGGUAGAGGGUCCUGUCCAAGCUGUAUGGCUAAUGAAUAGCAGAACUCAUAUUAUUUUCCACACCAUUCUACUACUGGGUAUUUUUUUUUUAUUGAUUUUCUAGUAUAGAUGGGUAUCCAUGCUUCCUAAAUAUCCCUUAAAAUUAGCCUAUGUCUGAUAUUAAGUAAAAUUUCACAAUUAACGAGAACUUUGUGAACUCUAAUUAAUAUUUGAUUUAUAGACUUUGGUGUAGUCCAGUGUCUCAAACCUGAGUGAGCAUGAGAAUCAGCUAGAGAGCAUGCAUGUUCAGACGCAGAUCACGGAGCCCUUCCUCAGAGUUUCUGAUUCAGUGGGUAGGAGUGAGGGAUAGAUAAGAAUUUACAUUUCUAACUAGUUUUCAUGUGAUGUUGUCCUGCCCGUUUGGGGGAAGCACUUUAAGAACCACUGGACUAGAAUUGGGUUCUAAGUUCUAGAAUCAGCCCAGACAGCAAAUUAAUCACCUUGAGAGGAUCACUUGGCUACUGAGUUUCCACUGUGUCAUCAGUACUAUAAGCAUUUUGGAUCAGUUCUGCCAUUUUAUGAGUCCAUGGUUAGGAAAUAUCUUAAAAACAAACAAACCAACAAACAGUGAAAUGCCUGGGGUUGGUUGAGGGAGUGCAUAUUGAUUAGGAAGGAGCAAGAGGAAGAUCCUGGGAAUGUUCUAGUUCUUGAUCUAGAUGGUAGUUAUGUGUGUGUACCUAGGUAAAAAUUCAUUAAGUUGUAAAUUUAAGUUUAAUGUACAUUAUACAUACAUAUGCAUUCUUGAUCAAAAAGAUCAAGAAUAUUCUUGCCAAAAAUAAAAAAUUUAAAAUAUUUUUA